rnacentral:rRNA from 1 species
UGGGGAAUCUUGCACAAUGGGGGCAACCCUGAUGCAGCGACGCCGCGUGAGCGAUGAAGCCCUUCGGGGCGUAAAGCUCUUUCGACCGGAACGAUAAUGACGGUACCGGGAGAAGAAGCUGCGGCUAACUACGUGCCAGCAGCCGCGGUAAUACGUAGGCAGCAAGCGUUGUUCGGAGUUACUGGGCGUAAAGAGUACGUAGGCGGUUUUCUAAGUUCGGUGUGAAAUCUCCCGGCUUAACUGGGAGGGUGCGCCGAAGACUGGGAAGCUGGAGUUUGGGAAAGGCAGGCGGAAUUCCUGGUGUAGCGGUGAAAUGCGUAGAUAUCAGGAGGAACACCGGCGGUGUAGACGGCUUGCUAGACCAUAACUGACGCUGAGGCACGAAAGCGUGGGUAGCAAACA